rnacentral:rRNA from 1 species
GAUGAACGCUAGCGGCAGGCCUAAUACAUGCAAGACGAACGGUAAGUUGAGUAGCAAUACUUAGCCAAGAGUGUCGUACGGGUGCGUAACACGUAUGCAACCUACCCUAUACAGGAGGAUAGCCUAGGGAAACCUGGAUUAACCCUUCAUAGUAUUAUUGGAUGGCAUCAUUUGAUAAUUAAAACUGAGGUGGUAUAGGAUGGGCAUGCGUCUGAUUAGUUAGUUGGCGGGGUAAUGGCCCACCAAGACGAUGAUCAGUAGGGGUUCUGAGAGGAAGAUCCCCCACACUGGCACUGAGAUACGGGCCAGACUCCUACGGGAGGCAGCAGUAGGGAAUAUUGGUCAAUGGAUGCAAGUCUGAACCAGCCAUGCCGCGUGCAGGAAGAAGGCCUUCU